rnacentral:tRNA from 1 species
GGGGUUGUAGCUUAGUGGUAGAGCUCUUGCUUCGUAUGUGUGAGGCCCUGGGUUCGAUCCUCAACACCA